rnacentral:rRNA from 1 species
CCCAAGAGAUCGGGAUAACACCUGGAAACAGAUGCUAAUACCGGAUAAUAACAGAUGAUGCCUAUCAACUGUUUAAAAAGGAUGGUUCUGCUAUCACUCUUGGAUGGACCUGCGGUGCAUUAGCUAGUUGGUAGGGUAACGGCCUACCAAGGCGAUGAUGCAUAGCCGAGUUGAGAGACUGAUCGGCCACAUUGGGACUGAGACACGGCCCAAACUCCUACGGGACAGCAGAC